rnacentral:rRNA from 1 species
UACGUAGGGUGCAAGCGUUAAUCGGAAUUACUGGGCGUAAAGGGCGCGCAGGCGGCCGAUCAAGUCAGAUGUGAAAGCCCCGGGCUCAACCUGGGAAUAGCAUUUGGGACUGAUUGGCUAGAGUUCGGGAGAGGAGAGUGGAAUUCCCAGUGUAGAGGUGAAAUUCGUAGAUAUUGGGAAGAACACCGGUGGCGAAGGCGGCUCUCUGGACCGACACUGACGCUGAGGCGCGAAAGCGUGGGGAGCAAACAGG